CGCGUAGGCGGUUCGUACAGUCAGACGUGAAAUUCCCGGGCUCAACCUGGGGGCUGCGUUUGAUACGUGCGGGCUGGAGUUCGGAAGAGGGUCGUGGAAUUCCCAGUGUAGAGGUGAAAUUCGUAGAUAUUGGGAAGAACACCGGUGGCGAAGGCGGCGACCUGGUCCGAUACUGACGCUGAGGCGCGAAAGCGUGGGGAGCAAACAGGAUUAGAUACCCUGGUAGUCCACGCCGUAAACGAUGUGUGCUGGAUGUUGGGUGACCUAGUCAUUCAGUGUCGUAGCCAACGCGAUAAGCACACCGCCUGGGGAGUACGGCCGCAAGGUUGAA
rnacentral:rRNA from 1 species